rnacentral:lncRNA from 1 species
AAUCAGUUUGUCUUUUCCGGGGAAAAAUUUCAGUUAUAUAUCCAAUCUUCCUUGUGCUUCAUUUCUUUGAUGUAGACUUCAGUUGUAUAAAUCAUUCUUGGAAAAGUCUCUUUGUUUUUCCAUUUGUCCUUGUAAUUUCUGAAGUUGAUAUUGUUUAUGUUAGUCAGUAGACAUAUUGCAGUGUGAACUAUAAACAGUACCGAUAUACAAUACUAGCAUCUCAACUUGCCAGUUUGAACAGAAU